GGACCGGGCACCCAGCCUUCUCCCUCUCCACCAUUAUCAGCUCCUGUCUCUCCUGAGUCGCACCUUAACCGGGACGUAUUCACCUGCACUGGCCCGACCCUAUCAGAGGAGGGGUCAUCUUCUAGGACACGGAGAGUGGACCCAUCUCCCUGGUGACCCUGGAGGCUCGCUUCCCAGGCAGCUCUCGAGACCCCGGAACCCAAGGCACCCCAGUCCUUCCCCUCUGGGACCGAGGGGUCCAGGCCCCUGGCCCUCCCUUAUUUAAGGAGCCAGGGCUCCGGUCUCCCAGCACCCGUCCAGGGGGACCUCCAGACACACACACACUCAGCAUCACUGCCCUGGUCUUCUCCAGCCCACCUCCAAGUUGAAAUCCAGCGGCUGGAGUCAGUCCUCCACUGUCCCCAACCAGACAGGCUGCAUGGGGCCUGGAGACGGUGAGGUCCCUGAAAUGCGAAGCCACGAGUUGUCCUAAGUGACCGGAGCCAAGUGAUUUCUCAUCUUGGAGUCUCUGCGUCGCUGUCUGUCAGAAACAAAACUGUGGUCACAACGUCCUGAAUGUUUCAUGACCGGCUAACAGGUCUUGACUUGCAAUCGCGAACAACCACUAAUCUCGAGUUCCAGGGGUCCACGCAGGUUGGUGUUAGAAAAGGAGUAACUAAUACUAACGUGGAGUAGGUUCUAUUGGCUUCCAAGGGGGCGCAGCGUUUUGUUCCUGCACCCCCCGCAGCAUGCUGCAUGCGUGAACAGACAGACACACAUGCACCCAUGGCACAUACCACCCCCUUCCACUCCCCUCAG